UCCUCAGUAGCUCAGUUGGUUAGAGCGGGGGACUGUUAAUCCCUAGGUCCGCGGUUCGAGUCCGUGCUGAGGAG
rnacentral:tRNA from 1 species